UCAAUUUAUAUUAAGUAUAUAUAUUGUAUUAUAUUGCCAGGUAUAUGACAAACAUAAUUGCAAGUUGAAGCAAGCUUUGUAAAUUGCACUUUUCACAAGUGACCAUGCACCGCCAGUUUUAGACUAGUAAUUAGAAAAGAGUGCAUAUUUUUCUCCCAAAUGAAAUGAAAAGACCUUGGAAAACACACCAUAGCACAGCGAUUAAACAUGAUUUGUGUCCAUGUUGAUUUCAUACCCAUAUUUUAUUUGCUUAAAUCCAGCUAACAACCAAGGCUGAUGCAUGAUUGUUGCUAAGUCCAGUUACAGAAACAGUCCCUCUGUUCAGAUGGGAACACAGCCAUGACUGUAGCCUGGCUAGUAGGUCUUCCCAAAGCAUUGCAUCACACAAUAACCAGGUUUCCCCACCACAUUCCCAUUAGAACAGAUAUUCCACAAAGAAGUAAUACUUGAAUAAACAAGAAGUUCAAUAUUUUUUGCCCACUCCUUGCUGUAAAUAGUCACAAUGCACAGCUCAAUGUCAGCGUACUUUCUUUUCUUUUAAAUAACUAUGCAGUUUGCUAGCUAUUCCCAUCCCAUCUCAUCAAAUGGAGACCUCCAAAUCUGUGCAUGGUCAGAUAUCAAGAUUAAGACCUUCCUUGCAGCUUGGGGUGAGACCAUCCAACCUGAUCUAGCUUUUUGCCAGUGGAACCAGCUGGGGGUAUAAACAGAUUAUAGGCACAAGUGCCAAAUCUGGUAUCAUUCUGUUAGGCACAUGAUGAGAGACAAUAAAAACACCAAUUAUUGGGUAUCACUGAAGGGCACUAAUUGUAACUCAGUAGUUUCAUGGCAGUCUAUAAGGUGCCACAGGACUUUUUGCCGCUUUUAUUUGAAAUGAGAUGAUCCAGCCUGACAUACAAUCCUCAUUGCCACCUCUUGAGACCAACAAUUGCAACAGUGCUAAUAUUGUCACCACAGAUGAGGGUGUGGUGGCAGCCAGGGGACAAUGGUGACUCGUCUCCAGAGUAUUUUCAGGGGAAUCAAUCCUAGGAUGUAUGGCGUUUAAUACUGUAAUCAGAUCGUGCAAUGGCAUUAGUACCUGUGAGAACUAGAACUCAGGAAGGUGUGGUGAGGCCCUUGCCCUGCAUGACUGUCAGCCGGGUAACUAUGGGUAGAUGUAGAUCUCACACUCCUUAAGGAGUUACUAAAACCUAGUUGAGGAAAAUCUACCUCCCCACAGCGAACCAGCCCUGCCCUUCGUUUGCACCUCGCCUUGCAUGGCUCAGUCACUCCGCAAUCCACGCUGGAGGGCGCUGCUGGCAUCGCCCUUUAGCCACACGCCAACAACAGACGGCCCAAGGAAGCGGGUUAUGGGCGGCUGAGCAACAACCACUUGGGUGCGAGGAGCGCCUGCCCAGUCAUUGGUCAAGACACCAGCGAAUCGCAGCGUCCUCCGGAGUGGGCGGUCCAACUUCGGCUUGUCAAUCGCCAAUUUCACCAAUCAGGAGAGUCGGAAAAGGCGCCCCGAUUGGCUCGAGAGGGCUGGCUCCGAUACAAAAAGGGCGGGGGAGGAGGCGCCGGCUGUCGUAGGUAGGAUGCUCAUGGUCGGGGUUCCUUUGCCGCUUUAGGCCGGCAGAGGCGCUGCCCUCGUGCCACCGAUGCCCGGCUGGAGAAGCCGCUGCCCGCAGAGCACGGCCGAGCCCGCCGCCUGCCCGUUCUGGGCGUUAGCGCCAGCCCGGGUGCUCGUGCGGCUUCGGGCCAGGCGAGGAUGCGGAGCCGCAGGGAGCAGCGGGGCUGCCUCGCAGCCGCGGGACAAGCCGGAGCGGCCGCUGCCGCGGAGCAGGCGCCAGGAGACGCGCCCAGCGACACGGUAAAAGCACACAUUCUGGUCCUCUCGUUCUGAGCUCAAACCUCCAAUUGAAGAGGUGGAUGUAUUUCUGGACCUCAUAUAGGAGAUGGACCUAGCCUUGUCUCUGAGCAGCAUAUGUUGGGCCCUUGGCCCUGGAAGGCCUUGGACUUGUUGGAGCGUGCAGGAGAUGCCAGAAUUUGGCAAGCCUACCAUGCAGGCCUGGUGCACUUUUUUCUCUUUAGAGAAGAGAUGGGAAUGCCUGCAGUUUGGCCAAUUCCAGAGGAUCAAAUUAGAGGGUUUGUGGUGGCUAUGGAAUCACAAGGCUUGUCUUCACCAAAAAUACUGAUGUACUUGGCAUCACUCUCCUAUGUCUCCAAAAUCACAGGUCACCCUGAUCCUCUUCAAGAUUUUGUAACCUGUCAUAUGGUGGCAGGGUUGCAGUGGAGGGAAGGUAAUCAAAGAUAUUGCAGAUCUCAUGUAACCAUUGAGGUGUUGCGAUCUCUCUUGGGCACAGUACAGUCUGUGUGUAGCUCUCUUUAUGAAUGUUUGUUGUUCCGUGCCUUGUUUACUGUGGCUUUUUUUGGGGCUCUUCGUGGGAAGAGGUGGUAGCAGAGCACCGCAACUGGGCACAGCCAGAGCUCCUGUACAUGAGUGAUGUCCAGCUGACUGAGGAAAGAGUGAACAUUUACCUGCAUACAUCCUACCUGGGCCAAGAAAGGUUUUUGAUCUCUCUUGGAUUAUCUAGAGAGACAUGGGUAUGCCCUGUUGAGGCACUGUGCAAUUAUGUGGCAGCUAGGCCACGAGGGGACGGGCCUCUCUUUGUACACUGGGAUGGCACACCGUUGACAAGGAGACAGUUCUUGGUUGUCUUCCGUUCUGCUUUAAGGGUUACUUGGCCUUCGACCAGAGCAAUAUGGUGUACAUUCUUUCUGGUUGGGAGCUGUUGUGACCGCUGUACGCUAUAGAUGGUCUGAAGAAGCUAUUCUGCACCUGCGAAGGAGGCAAGGUAUCCACCCAAAGAGGAGACCAGAAGUAGUCAACCACAGAAGCCAAAAGAACAGCUAAGGUUCUCUGGUCUGUUCCCCUUGCUGAUGCAGUAUUGUUUCCUACAGCGUGUGAUCUAGUGCUCUGAUGCAUAAACUUAAAAGUAAUGGAGCAACUUCUUCAGAGAACAUUCUAGUUAAUUGACUUUUCUGGAGUUUGCAGUUUGCUGUCGUCUGCAUUUGUUUGUAAGCUGUAUCUGUCUGUUGGGGAUUGGACUUCCAUGUCUCUUUGCAAAAUUAACUUGCAAGAAUUGCUUACCUAGUAAAGUCUUCAUGAUCAAUAAACUUGCAGUGCAUUCUCCUUUCAAACUUGUCUGGCCUUCAUUGUGGCAAGUCAACAAGCUGUUUCUAUGCCACAUCUUAGCAGCAAAUAAACUAAGUCUUGCAUCCUUA